rnacentral:snoRNA from 1 species
AAACCAUGAUUGGGGCAUUUCCUCAGCAGCAAUUGAAAACGCUCCCAUGCUUCAUAAAAAGCUUCCUCGGUGCCUUGUCUGAAUGUAGAUAUUUCAAACUUUGCAUGU